rnacentral:snoRNA from 1 species
UACGAUUAGUGAUUUUUUAAAUUAAACAGAUGGGAAUCUCUCUGAAAAAGACUGAAGAUUUUUUAAAACUGAAACAGUG